GCACCGGAUCCCAUCAGAACUCCGCAGUGAAGCGCACUUGGGCGAGAGUAGUAACAGUCUGGGUGACCUCCUGGGAAGUCCUCGUGUUGCACCUC
rnacentral:rRNA from 1 species